rnacentral:tRNA from 1 species
GCCGAAGUGGCGGAAUUGGCAGACGCGCGCGACUCAAAAUCGCGUUCCUACGGGAAUGAGGGUUCGAUUCCCUCCUUCGGCA